UCCGGCUUGUCACCGGCAGUUUCAAUAGAGUGCCCAGCAUAACCUGGUAGCAACUAUCGAUAAGGGUUGCGCUCGUUGCGGGACUUAACCCAACAUCUCACGACACGAGCUGACGACAGCCAUGCAGCACCUGUGUGCUAGCCAGCCGAACUGAAGGAGCUAAUCUCUUAGCCCCAUACUAGCCAUGUCAAGGCCUGGUAAGGUUCUUCGCGUUGCGUCGAAUUAAACCACAUACUCCACCGCUUGUGCGGGCCCCCGUCAAUUUCUUUGAGUUUCAUCCUUGCGAAUGUACUCCCCAGGCGGAAUGCUUAAUGUGUUAACGGCGUCACUGAAAAGUUAGACUUUCCAACAACUAGCAUUCAUCGUUUACGGCGUGGACUAC
rnacentral:misc_RNA from 1 species